rnacentral:misc_RNA from 1 species
ACAAAAAAUUGGAAGGCUUUCACUCUUUUGGGGUGGAAGCCUUUUAAAAACACCAAUUGUGAACUUGUAUUAUUGUUUCUUUUCUGUGGUUUUAUCAUGAGCUUAGUUUUUACGCUGGUUUAUGAUAGCCCAGAAAAAACCUUUAUUAAACAAAGAAUUAUACCAUUUUGACCAUUAAAUAAAAGUUUGAAUUUUUUUAAACAUUAAAUAAAUUAAAAAAA